UACGUAGGGCGCAAGCGUUGUCCGGAAUUAUUGGGCGUAAAGAGCUCGUAGGCGGUCUGUCGCGUCGGAUGUGAAAGCCCGGGGCUUAACCCCGGGUCUGCAUUCGAUACGGGCAGACUAGAGUGUGGUAGGGGAGAUCGGAAUUCCUGGUGUAGCGGUGAAAUGCGCAGAUAUCAGGAGGAACACCGGUGGCGAAGGCGGAUCUCUGGGCCAUUACUGACGCUGAGGAGCGAAA
rnacentral:rRNA from 1 species